rnacentral:rRNA from 1 species
UCCCCUAGUAACUGCGAGUGAAGCGGGAAAAGCUCAAAUUUAAAAUCUGGCGGUCUUUGGCCGUCCGAGUUGUAGUCUGGAGAAGUGCUUUCCGCGCUGGACCGUGUAUAAGUCUCUUGGAACAGAGCGUCAUAGAGGGUGAGAAUCCCGUCUUUGACACGGACUACCAGUGCUUUGUGAUGCGCUCUCAAAGAGUCGAGUUGUUUGGGAAUGCAGCUCAAAAUGGGUGGUGAAUUCCAUCUAAAGCUAAAUAUUGGCGAGAGACCGAUAGCGAACAAGUACCGUGAGGGAAAGAUGAAAAGCACUUUGGAAAGAGAGUUAAACAGUACGUGAAAUUGCUGAAAGGGAAACGCUUGAAGUCAGUCGUGUCGUCCGGAACUCAGCCUUGCUUUCGCUUGGUGCACUUUCCGGAUGACGGGUCAGCAUCGAUUUUGACCGUCGGAAAAGGGCUGGAGUAAUGUGGCACCUCCGGGUGUGUUAUAGACUCUAGCCGCAUACGGCGGUCGGGAUCGAGGAACGCAGCGCGCCGCAAGGCAGGGGUUCGCCCACUUUCGCGCUUAGGAUGCUGGCAUAAUGGCUUUAAACGACCCGUCUUGAAACACGGACCAAGGAGUCUAACAUACCUGCGAGUGUUUGGGUGGAAAACCCGAGCGCGCAAUGAAAGUGAAAGUUGAGACCCCUGUCGUGGGGGGCAUCGACGCCCGGACCUGACGUUUUCUGACGGAUCCGCGGUAGAGCAUGUAUGUUGGGACCCGAAAGAUGGUGAACUAUGCCUGAAUAGGGUGAAGCCAGAGGAAACUCUGGUGGAGGCUCGUAGCGAUUCUGACGUGCAAAUCGAUCGUCAAAUUU